AUUGAACGCUGGCGGCAUGCCUUACACAUGCAAGUGGAACGGCAGCACGGGAGCAAUCCUGGUGGCGAGUGGCGAACGGNUGAGUAAUAUAUCGGAACGUGCCCAGUCGUGGGGGAUAACGUAGAGAAAUUUACGCUAAUACCGCAUACGAUCUAAGGAUGAAAGCGGGGGAUCGCAAGACCUCGCGCGAUUGGAGCGGCUGAUAUCAGAUUAGGUUGUUGGUGAGGUAAAAGCUCACCAAGCCGACGAUCUGUAGCUGGUUUGAGAGAACGACCAGCCACACUGGGACUGAGACACGGCCCAGACUCCUACGGGAGGCAGCAGUGGGGAAUUUUGGACAAUGGGCGAAAGCCUGAUCCAGCAAUGCCGCGUGCAGGAAGAAGGCCUUCGGGUUGUAAACUGCUUUUGUACGGAACGAAACGGUCUGCCCUAAUACGGCGGGCUAAUGACGGUACCGUAAGAAUAAGCACCGGCUAACUACGUGC
rnacentral:rRNA from 1 species